CGGGUAAACAUCGAGUCUUUGAACGCACGUUGCGCCCGAUGCCAUUAGGUUGAGGGCACGUCUGCCUGGGUGUCACAUAUCGAAGCCUCAUGCCAAUUUCCUUUUGACAGGUAUUGUGCGGGGUGAAUGUUGGCCUCCCGUGAGCUCUUUCGUCUCAUGGUUGGUUGAAAAUUGAGACCUUGGUAGGGUGUGCCAUGAUAGAUGGUGGUUGUGUGACCCACGAGACCAAUCAUGCGCUACUCUAUUGAGUUUGGCCUCUUUUACCCAUAUGCGUUUCUAAACGCUCGUGAUGAGACCUCAGGUCAGGCGGGGCUACCCGCUGAAUUUAAGCAUAUCAAUAAGCGGAGGAAAAGAAACUAACAAGGAUUCCCUUAGUAACGGCGAGCGAACCGGGAUAAGCCCACCAUGAGAAUCGGUCGCCCUCGGCGUUCGAAUUGUAGUUGAAAAAAAACCUCAAAACC
rnacentral:rRNA from 1 species